rnacentral:rRNA from 1 species
UACGUAGGGGGCGAGCGUUAUCCGGAUUCAUUGGGCGUAAAGCGCGCGUAGGCGGCCGCCUAAGCGGAACCUCUAACCCCGGGGCUCAACCUCGGGCCGGGUUCCGGACUGGGCGGCUCGAGUGCGGUAGAGGAGAGCGGAAUUCCCGGUGUAGCGGUGGAAUGCGCAGAUAUCGGGAAGAACACCGAUGGCGAAGGCAGCUCUCUGGGCCGUCACUGACGCUAAGGCGCGAAAGCUGGGGGAGCGAACAGG